rnacentral:rRNA from 1 species
UACGGAGGGUGCGAGCGUUGUCCGGAAUCAUUGGGCGUAAAGGGCGCGUAGGUGGCGGGACAAGCGUGCGGUGAAAGCCUGGGGCUCAACCCCGGGUCGGCCGUGCGAACUGUUUUGCUUGAGCACUGUAGAGGCAGGCGGAAUUCUGGGUGUAGCGGUGGAAUGCGUAGAGAUCGGGAAGAACAUCAGUGGCGAAGGCGGCCUGCUGGGCUGUUGCCGACGCUGAGGCGCGACAGCGUGGGGAGCAAACAGG